CAGAGAAAUUAGUAUAGAGUUGUUUAGGACCCAGAAACCACGUCGUUUGCAACACUCCAAGGAUCACAAAAAACCCAAAAGCCAUUUUAGCUUCUUUGCUCACUUCUUCACUUCUCUGUAAAGUCUAUACAAACGCUCAGAGUCAGACCAACCCUUUAAUCUCUCUCUCUCUCUCUCUCUCUCUCUCUCUCUCUCUAUAUAUAUAUAUAUAUAAUCUUUCUUUCUUGAAGCUAUUUUGAUCCAAUCAUGGCUCACUUGGCCGUUUCUCAGGUCUAUGUGACUGUCCCUCUUAAUAGCGAUUCGACUUUUAAGAGAUCUGUGUUUAAGGCGCACAACAUAAGUUUUCGUGAUAAAUCAUGGACGUCUGUUGUCUCACAUUCGGACUUGAAAACCAAGAAUUCACAGUUGAGAAAUCAGUAUGUAGUUUGCAUGUCAGUGCAACAAGCCAACAAACCUAAGGUUGUGGUCUCUCCUAUAUCACUCGAAGAUGCAGAAGAGCCUCCACUGAACUUACACAAGCCCAAGGAACCGUAUACAGCAACCAUUGUCUCAGUUGAGAGGAUUGUAGGCCCAAAAGCUCCAGGAGAGACUUGUCAUAUUGUGAUUGAUCACGGUGGCAAUGUUCCCUAUUGGGAAGGACAAAGUUAUGGUGUAAUUCCUCCUGGUGAAAACCCAAAGAAACCAGGGAAUCCUCACAAUGUUCGUCUAUAUUCGAUCGCAUCCACUAGGUAUGGAGACUUUUUUGAUGGCAAGACGGCCAGUUUGUGUGUUCGACGUGCUGUCUAUUACGAUCCUGAGACAGGAAAAGAAGAGCCUUCAAAGAAUGGCGUAUGCAGCAAUUUCCUUUGCGAUUCAAAGCCUGGAGACAAAAUUAAAGUCACAGGUCCUUCUGGGAAGAUAAUGCUUUUACCUGAACAUGACCAAAAUGCCACUCACAUUAUGAUUGCUACUGGUACUGGUGUGGCUCCAUACAGAGGGUACCUCCGUCGUAUGUUCAUGGAGUCUGUCCCUAAAUUCAACUUUGGAGGCCUCGCUUGGCUGUUUCUUGGGGUGGCCAACACUGAUAGUCUCCUCUACAAUGACGAGUUCACCAAGUAUCUUCUAGACUACCCAGAUAACUUCCGGUAUGAUCGUGCUCUAAGCCGGGAACAAAAGAACAGGAACGGAGGCAAAAUGUACGUUCAGGAUAAGAUCGAAGAGUACAGUGACGAGAUUUUCAAACUCUUGGAUGGUGGGGCCCACAUUUACUUUUGUGGGCUCAAGGGGAUGAUGCCUGGUAUUCAAGACACGCUGAAGAGGGUUGCGAAGGAGAGAGGGGAGAGCUGGGAAGAGAAGCUAUCGCAACUCAAAAAGAACAAACAAUGGCAUGUUGAAGUCUAUUGAUGUUGCAUUUCACUUAAAGAGAGCUUGGGUUUUACGUGUGAUAGAUGGUUGUAAAUGGAUGCAUUGGUGACACAGGUACCCAAAUUUGAUCGACUGGCAUUCAGUGGGGCAACAAAUGCAGGAGUUGCAGAGUUCAGUUUGUGAUAUAUUGUGGCCCUAUAAAAUUUGGUAAUAAAUUUUAAAAAAAUGGAUGCCCUGUUACUAAUGUUAGUUACUAGGAUUAUUAGCAUAUCCAAGGAGCAAAUUCGUUGUGAAAUUACAUUUUGCACUUUUACACUUUCUUGAAAUUCCACGUUCCACUCCUUCCUCUCUGCUUCGAUUUUACAAUCGCAGUCCAUGUCAUACCCUUUUGGUCAAGGGUUCCGUUUGGUAGAACUGUGAAAAAGUGAUUAUAGAUUAUAGAUUAUAACUUAAUAGAUUAUGACUUAUAGCUGUGAAUAUAAGCUGUUAACUUGUUUGGUGUAGCUGUGAAAUUAUGAAUUUAAGCAGCAGAGUAACGUUUGGUUAA